GAUGAACGCUGGCGGCGUGCCUAAUACAUGCAAGUCGAGCGAACGGACGAGAAGCUUGCUUCUCUGAUGUUAGCGGCGGACGGGUGAGUAACACGUGGAUAACCUACCUAUAAGACUGGGAUAACUUCGGGAAACCGGAGCUAAUACCGGAAAAUAUUUUGAACCGCAUGGUUCAAAAGUGAAAGACGGUCUUGCUGUCACUUAUAGAUGGAUCCGCGCUGCAUUAGCUAGUUGGUAAGGUAACGGCUUACCAAGGCAACGAUGCAUAGCCGACCUGAGAGGGUGAUAGGCCACACUGGAACGGAGACACGGUCCAGACUCCUACGGGAGGCAGCAGUAGGGAAUCUUCCGCAAUGGGCGAAAGCCUGACGGAGCAACGCCGCGUGAGUGAUGAAGGUCUUCGGAUCGUAAAACUCUGUUAUUAGGGAAGAACAUAUGUGUAAGUAACUGUGCACAUCUUGACGGUACCUAAUCAGAAAGCCACGGCUAACUACGUG
rnacentral:rRNA from 1 species